rnacentral:rRNA from 1 species
UGGAUAACCUACCUAUAAGACUGGGAUAACUUCGGGAAACCGGAGCUAAUACCGGAUAAUAUUUUGAACCGCAUGGUUCAAAAGUGAAAGACGGUCUUGCUGUCACUUAUAGAUGGAUCCGCGCUGCAUUAGCUAGUUGGUAAGGUAACGGCUUACCAAGGCAACGAUGCAUAGCCGACCUGAGAGGGUGAUCGGCCACACUGGAACUGAGAAACGGUCCAG